rnacentral:rRNA from 1 species
AUUGAACGCUGGCGGCAUGCUUUACACAUGCAAGUCGAACGGUAACAGGCCGCAAGGUGCUGACGAGUGGCGAACGGGUGAGUAAUGCAUCGGAACGUGCCCAGUCGUGGGGGAUAACGCAGCGAAAGCUGCGCUAAUACCGCAUACGAUCUAUGGAUGAAAGCGGGGGACCGAAAGGCCUCGCGCGAUUGGAGCGGCCGAUGUCAGAUUAGGUAGUUGGUGGGGUAAAGGCUCACCAAGCCAACGAUCUGUGGCUGGUCUGAGAGGACGACCAGCCACACUGGGACUGAGACACGGCCCAGACUCCUACGGGAGGCAGCAGUGGGGAAUUUUGGACAAUGGGCGCAAGCCUGAUCCAGCAAUGCCGCGUGCAGGAAGAAGGCCUUCGGGUUGUAAACUGCUUUUGUACGGAACGAAACGGCUCUGGUUAAUACCUGGGGCUAAUGACGGUACCGUAAGAAUAAGCACCGGCUAACUACGUGCCAGCCGCCGCAGUAAAAC